rnacentral:lncRNA from 1 species
UGCAUUGAGGAAAGUGGGAACAGGCACGUCAGGAUGUGGAAGAGAUCUAGUUUCACCCGUCCUCCUACGAUUUAAUAUUAUUAGUUGAAUUUGAAAAAUGAAAAAUAUAUUUUUGAAAAUAAUACCUAAGCGCCCAUCUUCAGAAUCACAACUUCUAGUUGCAGAAGAUCCAUUCGCUUCUUGAGUUUGACGCUUAAUUGCUUGCUAAGCGAUUAUCAAUUUUCUUGACAUCUAUUUAAUUACAAUUAUAUAAUAAAUAUAAUUGGGAAAUGAAUAUUAGAAGUAAAAGAAGAGGGAAAAGUAGAAAAAUUGGAAAUAUUGAAAUUUAAUUUUUAAAUAAAUUAAUUUUUAUAAGAUUUAAUUAUUUUAUAAAUAUAAUAAUAAUUAUUUAACAAAUAUAUUUUCUAUAAAAAAAUAUAUUAUCUCUAAAAUAAUAAUAUAUAUUAUCUUUAAAAAUAUAUUAUAUCGAUCUCUAGAAAAUAUAUAAUAUUUUAAGGUAUUUAUCUCAUAUAUUUUUUAAAUUUAAUUUUUAUAAAAUAUAAUAAAUAUUAUUUAACAAAUAUAUUUUCUAUGAAAAAUAUAUUAUCGAUCUCUAGAUAAUAUAUAAUAUUUUAAGGUAUUUACCUCAUAUAUAUUUUAAAUUUAAUUUUUAAAUAAAAUUAUUUUUUAUAAAAUUUAAUUAUUUUAUAAAUAUAAUAAUUAUUAUUUAUGGUGAGACAUGUCUGACUAUGGCAGUCACUCCCAGCAACGCUUUUCAACAAGGACUAGGGUUCCGUCGCUUUACGCCGGACCCCCGGAAGGCUCCCACGAAGCGGAACAAGUUCAUCGUCAAAUCGCCGAGUUAACCCAUAAAUCGCCGAUUGGACUACCAAAUCGCCGACUUUAAGGAUAAGUCGUCGAGUUAGGGCCCAGAUCGGCAGUAUGGUAUACUGCACAUCUCGCCCCUGGAAACUCAGGGAGUUUGCUCUAAAUAGGCGAUUUCCAUACCUGAAUUGCCGAUUUACGACUGUUACUCGCCGCCAGCCAACACCAUAAAUGCACCCAUAUAUGGAAAUAGGUGCGAUGUCCGCCUUUGAUCAAGCCCUCUGAGACCCUAUAAAAAGGGGACACUCAAAGGCACAACACAAGUUCCACUCUCACUAGGGCAUCACUAAGAGACUCGCCGAUUCUCACUAGAAUCGCCUAGUCUCUACUUGCAGGUAUUUGACGUAUAGCGUGCGUCGUGGAUUCCAGAGUCUCCGGCAUCACCUCGCACCACCACGAGCUCUUGGUAGCAGAUUCAAUGCUUCAUCAGCUGGCGCCGUCUGUGGGACUACCGAACAACCGGUCCGGUAUCCCGUCGUAAUCGCGGUUUUUUUGUAAAGUCUAGCAUGAACUCUCCCGGAGGGUUCGCCGACUUUGUCAACUAAGUCGCCGACUUAGAUCGACAGUAGCCAAUUCUCGCCUCAAGUCCGAUUUAUUCUUAAAUCGCCGACUUAGCCUUGAGAAUCGCCCGAUCCGGAAUAUCGUCUACUAAGCUAAGAGUGUUGUCCACGACUCUGUUCAAAAACUCCCAAAGUCAAAGUCGUCGAUUUAGAUCCCUAAAUCGCCGAUUUUUUCUUUGUUUCUUGAACAAGCUCGGUCAAGUCAUCCUUUACUUUGGAACUUACGUCUUCGCACAGGUUGGAUUUUUCCCAAGCAAAAAUCGCCUAUUUAGGGGCAAACUCGCCUAUUUUCAGUGAAUGUCGUUGAUUCCCACUUGAAUUGACGAUUCCCACACUGAGUAGGCGAUUCCCUCACUUGAAUCGUCCAUUCGAUCAUCGUCUUUAUUCAUCGCUUUGGUUGAAUAAGACCACUCAUAGCCCAGCUCUUUGGCCAAAACGAAAAUCCAUCGCCACGGUUGGAUUCGCCUCGUCGUUUCGGUAAAAAAAAAAGAAAAAGAGUAUGGGGAUUUUUGCUUUUUUUCACUUCCAGUGAUUCUGUCGGUCCACUUCCGGAAUAUGUUUGCCAUAUGCGAUAUGUGUGUCAUAUCAUAUUUAGAAUAAUCAUCCAUCACUUCAGACGGAUCAAUCACCCAUCGCUUCGGCUGGGUGACAUCCUUCGCUUCGACCUUAUCUAUCAUCUAUUCACGAGUCAAAGUGAUAGUUAUGAAAUCUAAUUUACAACAAAGAGUCUAAAUUACGAUUACAAGUCUAGUUUACGAUUUACGAGUCCAAGGCGCGACUUAAGAGUCUAAAUUACGAUUACAAGUCUAGUUUACGAUUUACGAGUCCAAGGCGCGACUUAAGAAUCUAAAUUACGACUUUCACGAAUAUUUGCGAAUCAAACCCUAAGAUUCCAAAUAUUUACGAAUCUAAAUUCUCUUUCAAAAUCUAAUUUACUACGUACAAGUCUAAAUUACGAUGAAAAGUGAAUACACCUAUGAUUUUUUGUAAUUCUGAGUCGGUUUGGGAAUUGUCUGCGAGUCUAACUGACGGCUGAAUUACGACUCUUAAUUACAACCAAGCUUACGGCCAGACUGCCUAAGUGGGGGUUACACAACCAAACUUACGUCCAGAGUGGCUAAGUGGGGGUUAUAAAAUCUAGUUUACGGCCAGAGUGUCUAAAUUACGAUUUACGAGUCCAGUUUCGAGCCUAUGUUAUGGUUCUAGGAUUAAUACGGCAAAUUAAAAAUGGAUAAUUUCAUAGGGAUCAAUCCAUCGCUUUGGCUGGAUGACACCCGUUGAUAGUACAGGGUCCGACACGCAGACCAUAGUACUAAAAGACGUAUCCCAAAGUAUCUAAUACGCAGAGGAGGGGGGAGUACUGGUGAUACAGUAUCCCGAACACGGUCACAACCUACCAGCAACUAGAAGUCCGGAUAGCCUAAGAUGAGUUGAGGUAUCUAUUCUAGGGUUAGGGAGGUCCAGGUCGAAUCCUAGGAAGAUCGACUUUCCUGAGGAUCGACUUCCCUGGGAUCGACUUUUGAGUAAAGUCGAUCACCAGGAAAAGUCGACCCCCAGAAAGUCGAUCUCUGGAAAGUCGACCCCUGGAUCCAAUCUGAUCAGUUGGGCAGUUAGGCGGUUACUGCCCAAAUGACCAUAUUACCCCCAUAAGAACCCCUAUAAAUAGAGGGCACCCCCCACUCAUUAAAGGCAGGUCAUUUGGAGCGAAAGGAUUCCUAGCGAAGCAGAGCUCUGCACACUUGAGUUCCGGUCCGGUUUCCCGCGGAGUUCCCCGCUUGGCGCUUGCUUGCGCGUCUUGGAGUACUUGUCGGGUUUCACCCCCAUCAGUUGGCGCCGUCUGUGACUCAAAGAUACUCACGACAAAAGCUCCUCGACUUUUUCGAAAAAAGUGAUCGACUUUUUUCCAAGUCGCCAGCUAGGAAGUCUUGCGAGGAAAUCAGCCAGCAAGGGAUCGACAUUUCAGAAGAUCGACUUUUUUCUUCCAAGGAAAAAGUCGACCCCUCAAGGAGCCAGGCUUUCAGACAUCGACUUCCAAGGAAUCCUCCAAGUGCACUAAGGAUCGACUUUUUGAAGAUCGACUUUUCUCUCCAAGCAAAAGUCGAACACUCCUUCAAGGAAAAGUCGAACACUCCAGGAUGGUGGUAACUAGAAGCACUUCCCAAGGAGGAGGAGCAAAUUCUCAGGAGGCGCCAGAGCAACAGCCUGGCAAUUCAAAAACUAAAAGGCCAGUGGGUCGACCACCCAAGGCCAACAAAAACAAGAGGACUCCCACAGGACCUGAGGCUGACACUGAAGUCGAACCCGAACAAACCCCCCAAGCUUCAGCAGGAGGGGAAAAUCUGAACAUCACAGUUCAGGCAAUAGCAGAGGCCAUCCGACUCAUUGCUGAAAAGGAGAAACCUUCAGGAGAACAGCCUCAGAAGGGGGGACCCACAAGCAGCAAGGAACCAAGGGCUGCUGCAUCAGAAUCCACUCAUGGGUUCAUAAAAAUGCCCAUAGAAGAGUUGGAAAAAAUGAAGGAAACCAUAGCGAAAAUGAGCGAGAAGAUAAAGGAUAUUGAAAAGUGUAAGGCGUCAAUAUACCAGUCAAAAGCUCAAACCUCAAAGCAGGCCAAGGCGCAGCAGGAGGUAUCAAGUCAUAGGGCAGCACACUCAAGUGCGCCACUAUCUCAUAAACCAGAGGGGCAACCCAAACUUCUUUUCAGAAAACCCGUACAGGAAGAAAGUACGGGAGACACAGAAGGAGGAGGCGAGGUCCCAAACUGGCUGGUAGGCAUGGAUGCUUUGCACAAAUCGCUGAUGGUAAAACCAGCACCUCUGAAAUUCAGGCUACCCAGGCUGCAGAUCUAUGAUGGGAAGAUGGACCCAGCGGACCAUAUAAACAUGUUCGUAGGGGCAAUGCAGUGGGCUACAUUAAGGGAUGACAUUCUCUGUAGAGCAUUCCCAGGAACGUUAAAAGGACCCACAUACAGAUGGUUCGUCGAACUGCAGCCAGGGAGCAUAACAAAUUUCGAGGACUUAAAAAAGAAGUUCGUCGCCCAACAUUGUGGAAACACAAGGGUUAGAAAGGGCACGGAAUCGCUGUUCGCAAUCAAGCAGAAUGGAGACACGCUUCGGAGUUAUACAACUAAAUUCACGGAAGCCAUGCAGAAAAUCUCCGAUCUGAACACAACAAUUGCAAUAUGCGCAUACUCAAAAGGGCUAGACAUGAACACGCCAUUAGCGAUAAAGCUAAACGUCAGUAAUGUAAAAUGCAUGGAGGACCUGCUAACAAAGGCCCAGAAAUACAUAAAUUCUGAAGAGUAUGAGAAAGAAAAAGAAAAAGAGAGAGGUGCCAUAAGCAAUAAAAAAGCAUAUGAAGCACCAAAGAAAAAAUUCCAGAAAUUUGAAAAAGGAGAAUCGUCCUGGAGACUAAAACACGACGGAAAGGUCUACCAGACAUCUGAGGAGUUCGGGAAAUCAAGAUAUCCAAAGUACAAAGACUUGGGAUUUACGGUUUUCACUACUCCAAAAGAGGAAAUCUAUAAUAAAGAAAAAGGAAGAAUAAGGUUUCCUCAACCAGAAGAGUUGAACCCUGCAACGAAAGAGGCUCGAACAAGGAGGAACAGGUAUUGCAAGUUCCACAAGGAUUACUGGCACAACACAGAGAACUGCAGGGAGCUGAGCACCUUCCUAGAUACACAAGUAAAGGAAGGAAAGCUAAGGCAAUAUAUAAAUAAAGUAGAAAGGGGGCGACAAGGCUGCAAGGACCCAAAGAACAAGGGUAAGCGCCAACGCUCAAGGAGUCCAGAUUCAGACACUGACCACAAAAGAAGGGUAAUUAAUUUAAUCUUCGGUGGAGGAUCGGUAGGAGAAAGCAGAAGUUACUCGCGCAAAAUAAUGCAGACAACAACGGUACCAAAAUCUAAAAAAAGAUCGUACCCAAGCGAGGAAAUAAGCUUCUCUGAGGAAGAUCUGGACAACGUAGUCAGCCCACAUGAGGAUCCACUAGUAAUACAAGUGGAUAUAGGGGAUGACUUAAGUCUGAACAAAGUAAUGGUGGACAACGGCAGCUCAGUAGAUAUAUUAUACCUAGCUGCGUUCGAAAAAAUGGGCUACAAAGUGGAUCAGCUAACCCCGGCCAAGGAAGCCAUCUAUGGGUUUACAAACACAAAGGCCCCAGUAGUAGGAGCCAUCAAUCUACAGAUAUCCCUGGGAAAAAGAAACGGGAGAGUAUCACGCACAGCACACUUCAUUGUGGUCAACAUAGACUCUCCGUUCAAUGGGAUCUUGGGCAGACCAAGCAUUCACGGUUUCAAAGCGAUACCAUCAUCCUACCAUCAAUGCUUCAGGUACCCAGGAAAAGAUGGCAAAAUGGCAACAGUCUUUGGAGCACAGAAAGACUCCAGAAAUUCGUACAGGAAGGCAACUAAAAUAGCUAAACCUAUAACCCUGUACAUUCAAGAAAGAGAUGAGGAAGAAGACACAACCUCAUCUAAUCAAGUUGAGGAGGUCAAACUCUCAAAGGGAGGAGUCCUGAUGGGGACAUCUUUAUCCUCCGAGUUAAAAAAAUCACUACUGCAGCUAUUAGAAACCCAUGUGCAUACGUUCGUAUGGGAAGGGGAGGCACCCUCACAGGUACAGCAUACUAUAACGUGCCAUGAGCUCAACAUAGACAGUAGCUUUACUCCUAUACGGAAGAAGCGAAGAAUACUCGCAGCUGAAAGAAAGGAGGCAGCACAGGCUGAAAUUGAUAAAUUAAUCAAAGCUGGGCACAUCCGGGAAGUCAAAUAUCCAAAGUGGUUAGCAAACCCAGUUAUGGUCAAAAAAUCUAAUGGGAAGUGGAGGAUGUGUGUAGACUUCACAGAUCUCAACAAAGCAUGUCCAAAAGACAGCUACCCACUCCCAUCUAUCGACAGAUUAGUGGAUGCAGCUGUAAUAACCAUAAUUUUUCCUUAAUUUAAAACUUAAAAUGUUACCCUCAAAUUUAACAUAACACUCAACAAGAUCCAUAUGCCCGAGUGGCCAUACCCCGAAAACAAAACAAAAUCAAGUGCUAGCGGAAACAAAUAAAUCCCUAAAUUAAUUCAUAUCCUUGGAUCCCAUUCAUGUGUGAAUCCCUCGUUCCAGUCCAUCCUAUGCUAUCGCUUAUCCUGAAAAAAAAUAUCAUUCGUGGUAAGUUUCAAAACUUAGUACAUGGAUAUCUAUUAAAUCUAUUAGUUCAUAAAUUCUUCCUUUUCCUUUACAUGGAUCAUCGGUUAACCCUCCCCAUGCCGUCAAACCCCGACGGGUCAUAUAGCCUCGUCAGGCCCGUUAAGUUCCAUUCGUUCCUUGUAUCGUCAAAUCCCUAAGGAUCCGUAAAUUCGUAUAAUGGCAUAAAAGAGAAUUGGGAGAUCGCAUGGUCUAAUAAAAACCCAAAAUGCACAAAAAAAAACCAAAGGUGAUGUAAAACCUUAAAUAAUAAAAUGGUCAGACUCACCUAUCGAUUUUAUUGAUUAAAAUCGAUUCGAUGAGCGUCCCAUGUAGGUGUCCGAGCCUUAAGCAAGUGCUUCUAUAGCCGUAGGGCAGCGUGAAUCCUGAACUUGGGAUCUGAUGGAGUAAAAUCCGCGAUUUUGGUCCCGUGUUCUUAAGGAUUCGUUGUUGUCCAGCAGCUCUUAUAUGCCUGAAAUUAACAUGGAAACUAGAGCAUCAAACAUGCAUAACCUAGGAGAAAAGGAACUUGCAACUUCGUUGCUGUCCAGCAGCGUUUGUGCGCCUGAAAACAACACAAGAUGGAUUAUAAAACCCACAUCCAUCCGGAAUAAAGACUAGCAACUACGUUGCUGUUCAGUAGCAUUUAUGCGCCUGAAUUAAAACAGAAAAUAGCGACGAAAAUCCGCAAUAAUCAGAAAUAAAAACUUGUAAAUUCGCUGCUGUCCAGCCACAUUUAUGCGUAUGAAAACAGCAUGAAAAUAGAGCAUAGGCCAGCAUCAAUCAGGAAUAAAGACAAACAAUUCUGUUACUGUCCAGCAGCAUUUAUGCACCUGAUUCAAACCAGAAAGCAGAGACGAAAACUCGCAAUAAUCCGGAAUAAAAUUUAUAAAGUCAUGGCUGUCCAGCCGUAUUUAUGCGCUUGGAAUCAGCACUAAAACAGAGCAUAAAACCAACAUCAAACGAGAAUAAAGACUUGCAACUCCGUUACUUUCCAUCAACAUUUAUGCGCCCGUAUCAAAACAAAAAUAGAGUAACACCGUAAUAAAACACUAGCGAAAAACUAAAAAUCGGGAAUGAAGACUAGCAUUGAAUAUUGUGAAGAUCCUCUUCACCCCUAAGCCUAGGAGUGUUAACAUGACUACAAUUAUUAAACCGUGGAACACCAAAGACUAGCAUAACAACAACAAAAAAAUUACCUUCUUGCACCAUUUCACCUCAUCUCUAUAACAUGACCUUUCAACUACAUAUACUACUAAAAGAAUCUUAUACCCACGUACCUUGAUCACUUCUUUAACCUUUUCUUUUCCCCUUCCAAGCCCUAGCCGAGAUCCUUCCCUUCCUCCUCCUUCAAUUUGCGUUUCCCUCUUCUCUUCUUUUUCUUUUUCCCUUUUCUCUUCCCCCCAAUGUAUUCUCUUAAAUCCUAAUUCCUCUCCUCCAAC